rnacentral:rRNA from 1 species
GAUGAACGCUGGCGGCGUGCCUAAUACAUGCAAGUCGAGCGAACAGACGAGGAGCUUGCUCCUCUGACGUUAGCGGCGGACGGGUGAGUAACACGUGGAUAACCUACCUAUAAGACUGGGAUAACUUCGGGAAACCGGAGCUAAUACCGGAUAAUAUAUUGAACCGCAUGGUUCAAUAGUGAAAGACGGUUUUGCUGUCACUUAUAGAUGGAUCCGCGCCGCAUUAGCUAGUUGGUAAGGUAACGGCUUACCAAGGCGACGAUGCGUAGCCGACCUGAGAGGGUGAUCGGCCACGCUGGAACUGAGACACGGUCCAGACUCCUACGGGAGGCAGCAGUAGGGAAUCUUCCGCAAUGGGCGAAAGCCUGACGGAGCAACGCCGCGUGAGUGAUGAAGGUCUUCGGAUCGUAAAACUCUGUUAUUAGGGAAGAACAAAUGUGUAAGUAACUAUGCACGUCUUGACGGUACCUAAUCAGAAAGCCACGGCUAACUACGUG